UGUGGGGUACAAGGAACCGGAUUUUGACCAAAUUCUGAGUUUGAGGUUAAAAUCCGUCUCCUUUUGCCCCCGAGAAAUACUAUAUUGAAAAACAUAUUGCGUCAAAUCUGUAAUACAAUAAUCCAUAUUAUGGUGUUUGAGUUGCAAGAUUAUUUUACUCAGCAAGUGCCGUGGUACACAUGAAAAAGCAAUCGAUGCACAACGUGUCAAGAUGAAGAGGUAAUAUAUGACUCGUAAAAUAGCUUAAAUCUUUAUUUUGCUAGCGACUCAAGGGUGGAAAUUUUGGAGAAUCAUACUUAUAAUCAUACUAGUUGAGAUCUGCAUUCAUUCUUUAAAAUUCAUUAAAAUAUCAUUUAUUCGCGGACGUUUCUUUAUUUGCAGGUUACUACUCCAUAGCCAGGAUGUGAAAAUGUUUUAUUAAAAAAAAAAAUUCAGCGCGAAUUCAGUGCGUAAAUUGUUGCACCCGUAUUAGGUAGACCACGUGUUAUCGCAUUUGGCGUUGUAAUGGUACCAAUACCUCUUUUAGAACACAAGAUGGUGUACCUGCGCUCGGUAACUUUGGCUUGUACAAUUUAUGGAAAUGUUCCGCUUGCAUCAUAGUUACGUAUCACUUGCGUUGCAAUGUACGUAUAAAUACAGUAUAUUUCAUACUGACUUCAACAUUUUCUUUAUGCCAACGAUUGCGGAUUAGCGAGAACUAAUGGUGAAGCACGAGUAUAGGCUUAAUACUUGCCUAAAAAGGGAAAUAUUUUGUAUUUGUUGAAAUCAAGUAUUUUAAACUGAAAGAUACCAUAACAAACCAUACUGUAAUGUAUCUUCAUUUUUGUUCGUAAGAAAAAAUUGAUUGAAUUAUUUUCCCCCAGAAUGUUAUACUUGUAUACAAAACAAACAGCAGUAGGCUAGCAUUCUGAAUGAAUUUAUUCACAGUUGAUAAUUGUUUUAAUCUUAUUAUUUUUAAUCAAAAUUCUUGUAUUUCACGUAUUGUGUAUAAAUAUUGAUUUACACUGGACGUAGCUAAUUGGGCGUUUACAUAACAACUUUAUGUGAAAUGUAAUAAUUAUUAUUCAUGGCCAUGGUGUCAAUCAGCACCAAGUGCUAGCGUCUUUGUCAUAUGAGGGUAAAACCUAGUCGCAUGAAGAAACUAAGUCCUGCCGUUAUUACAUUAUCAUUUUUUUCUACAUCAGUGGACAAUGAAAUUAGGUUCAUCACAAAGUCCUUACUGGACAAUGGGUUUUAAGGUCGAUUUGAUGGUGAUUUCAGAUUCCUAUCCCGUUUGGGUUGCAUUCGUCAUGACGGCAUUCUUCUGCUGCCCUCUACCGACAGCUUAGUCAUUCAGCUUUUAGCCAAACUGAUUUAGAAAAAUGCACGUCGCUUACUUUAGUAAGCAAUCACAAGAGCUGGAGACAGGCAACAUUACAAUCAGACAGCCAGUGAUUCUGCCUUUGUGAUGACUGGGGAAGCUUGUUCCACUGUCAGUGGCUGAGGAGAGAGAAAACAGAUGGGGUCACGAAGAGUGGCAGGCAGAUCCUAAAAGACAUGAGACAGCCAGCUGGUGAGAGGAUGCUGAACGGAGAGAUUCGGUGUGUGUAUGGUCUGAAGAUAGGAAGGACCAAUACCAUUCACAGCUGGAUAUGCCAGAGUGAGUGAUUUGAAUUGCAUGUGGGGAACCACUGGACUGUUUUAUUUCAAAAUACAAAAUUAAGAGCAAGAAUUGUAUUUUUCUGGUUUGUGACCCUCCUACUGCAUCCUUUGGUGGUAGCAUCAUUCUGUGGGUGAUUUCACACUACUGUGUAGGCUGGACCUUUCAGAAGGAGGAUAGAUCAUGCCCCAAAUUUCAUAUUACAUUUUGUGUCUGGAACCAAGAACCUGACUCAGCCUUUUUCCAACACCUUUCCCAUCUAUAAGGUUCCAAAGAUCUAUUUUUUCAAAAUCUAGAAAAAAGUUGUUUUGAGCAGACCACUUACCUUACCCCACUCACCUAGGAACUUCUGUCCCCACAACCCAGACUCUUUACAAUCUUUCUGUGGAAACUUUUAGAACAAAUCAUGUCUGAAGGGAUGAAUGCAAGCAUAAAAUUGCCCUUUUCUAUAUUUUAUUGGCAUUGGAGCAUCGGUAUCAAAUUAAACUACAAUUAUUUUGCAACUCAUAUAUUCUAUCUGUGUGGUCCUCCCUCACUACUAAUCAAUGUUCUCUGGCCAAAGAUGUUCAGCUAAAGCAUCCAUCAAUGAUCGUAUUUUGUCAGAUUGUCAAUAAUAAUGUAUUUAAAUAUAGUUUUUUUAAAUACGAGAUGUCAGGGAGAUUUGAAUUAAUUCUGUUUUUCAAUGAAAGCAGCGAAGGGUUGAAUGCAUUUACUUCAGUAGAAGAUAGGCACAAUAUUGUAAUGUAAAGACUAAGAAUGUAGACGUUCUCAUGUACAGUAUGGUAUACUUUUUUUUACUGCCUCCCUGGAUUCUGUGGUGUCUAACUCAUUUGCAAUAAACAAAACCAAACCAAGCAUAAUUUAUUCUGGAAUAACUUGAUUGAACCCUGUCCAAAAAAACAAAAAGUUCUUAUAUGAAAAUAAAGUUCUACUUGCUAAUCAAAGAAUGCCUGGAGAUAAAGGGAGACAUUUUUUCAUCAUUAGCAUUUUUAUUUUGAGUUUCCAGAAUAGUCAUAAUAAUAUGGAUAACAUUCAAUAAGCUUAAAACCAAAUUUCUAUCCUGAUACAAAACAAUUACAUGUCAUAUAGCUUGCAUAUCUGAUUAAGUGGUACCAUAGGACAUAAUGCCAAAGGAAUUCCAUGAGUAAUAGUAGUACUACUGUAGAUGCAGUUAAGAUUUUUCCAAGAUUUAAAGUUAAUCAGAUAAGAAUGCACUAAACAUUCAUUCUUGAACGGCAUGCUCCCAUGGGCAGCAUUAGUAUUUUUGGGUUAUGUGCAAACCAAUUCUGUGCCAUUCUAAGUGGAAUGACACCGAAAACAGAUAUAUUCGUUUCUUAAUAGUUAACACCUGUGUUAAAAUAUGGAAUAUGUUACGCCAUUACAUUAUUGUAUCACACAAAGGAAAUAAAUGAUUUAUAUGACUGUGACAGAACAUAUUCCACACACAUAUUCACCCAGGCAAAUUCAACUUCUGUUGUUUGUUCUGGAAUGACAUUUUUCAAGAAAAAUUUGCUCUGAUGCUAUGACAACCCAUACCAGUACUGAGACACGUGUUCUCAGUUAUUGUAAUACAAUAACUGAGAACAGGGCAGCUGAUACAGCACAAUGGGACACUUGGCAGAACUGGACCACAACCUUAGGAGUACAAUGUCCUACACAAUUUAAAAAUCUCACAAUGCGUCCCCCACCCCAUUUAAACACAUACAAAACAACGCCAACAGAGACAAGAUACUGGAAGGUACAGAGCAUACCUCUACUUUCUGUUCUUCAUUAAUUGAAAUGCCCAAAAGGGGCUGGUCCUUUUAAACCCUUUCCUUUUUAGGCCAAACGGGAGGCCACAUAUGAAAUGUUAUUUACUUCAAUCAUUUUAGCUGGCAGUAAACACAACAAUUUGCAGUUUAUGGUGAGGUCUGCCAAACUGGCAAGCGAAAACAAUCCUGCCUGUAUUAAAGUGAUGCACGGAGAGGGGAUGGCAAAAGAGAGAACUCUACGUGUCUAGCAGUCUGUAAUCUGGACAGCUACCACAAAGGGUGCAGUUUAUCAUCCUCAGACACGCGGCCCGGGUGAACGCUGGCUGAAAAAACAGGCUUUGUUAGGACGCUGAGCGGGACAAAGAAUCGCUCCAUCUCUUUCUGUCCGUUGAUCAAAAACUACACAUUUACAAAGCGCUUGUCUUGUAAAACUUUCCUUCAUCCCUGGUUUAAACUCCCUGCACAAACCAUGCUCCACUUUCCCAACUGUCCCAACAUUUAUUUUACUCAGAUAGAAAGAUAAACUGAUUGGGAUUUGUGUCGUGCUCAUUGUCUCUAUAGACUGUAAAGACUUGAAUGAAAAAUAGUUCACAACGCAAUAUUGAACACUAUAUUUGAGACUGUUUAUAAAGGUAAAUGAAGCUUUGGUAUCAAAACAAACUAGACAGAGAUACAGACCCUGGUUCAAUCUGUACAUAAAACAAAUUGUCCAUGAUGAGUAAUGAAACUGAGCAAGCAGAAGUCCCCAUAUUAUGAGUUCAGUAACAAAAGAACUCCACUAAAAUCUAGAAAGUACAGCACAACUUGAAUUUACGACUAAAAGUUAAGUAGAAAAUGCAUUAGAAAUGCAUUAGAGGAUAGAGAAAAUCUAGGAAACAUCCCACCAUGUAAUAAGAUAUGAAGCAAGUUAGCUAGAAUCAGUCUGUUCAUUUAAUGAACUGGCUGAUAGACAGCCCAAAAAUGCCAAGAACACUCUUGGGACCUACUGGCAACACUGCAAAGGUUAUCAAACACUGAAUACAAGACAGACAGAAAAGACCACAAUAUGUCUUGACCAUUUGAGGUAAAGGGUUAUUUGAAUCCAUUUGUGUGGUCUUGUCUGGGAAUUUGUGCUUUCAAAGGUUCUGCAUUCAAAAUGGAGCUCUUACAGUACACCUCUAGAGAGAAUAUUACUGGUGACAGUCAUGAGCAAGGACAAUGACAGUGGAUGCUAAAGGACUUAAACUCACAGCUUUUGAACAGGUAAGGCAAUUCUUCUCUCCAUUGAAUAUUUGGCAACUGAAGUCACAUGGACAAAAAUUUAAUU